CCUACGGGUGGCUGCAGUGGGGAAUAUUGGACAAUGGGGGGAACCCUGAUCCAGCCAUGCCGCGUGUGUGAAGAAGGCCCUCGGGUUGUAAAGCACUUUCAGUGAGGAAGAACGCCUGGUGGUUAAUACCCAUCAGGAAAGACAUCACUCACAGAAGAAGCACCGUCUAACUCCGUGCCAGCAGCCGCGGUAAUACGGAGGGUGCGAGCGGUAAUCGGAAUUACUGGGCGUAAAGCGCGCGUAGGUGGCUUGAUAAGCCGGUUGUGAAAGCCCCGGGCUCAACCUGGGAACGGCAUCCGGAACUGUCAAGCUAGAGUGCAGGAGAGGAAGGUAGAAUUCCCGGUGUAGCGGUGAAAUGCGUAGAGAUCGGGAGGAAUACCAGUGGCGAAGGCGGCCUUCUGGACUGACACUGACACUGAGGUGCGAAAGCGUGGGUAGCAAACAGGAUUAGAUACCCUAGUAGUC
rnacentral:rRNA from 1 species